rnacentral:rRNA from 1 species
GAUGAACGCUGGCGGCGUGCCUAAUACAUGCAAGUCGAGCGAACAGACGAGGAGCUUGCUACUCUGACGUUAGCGGCGGACGGGUGAGUAACAUGUGGAUAACCUACCUAUAAGACUGGGAUAACUUCGGGAAACCGGAGCUAAUAACGGAUAAUAUAUUGAACCGCAUGGUUCAAUAGUGAAAGACGGUUUUGCUGUCACUUAUAGAUGGAUCCGCGCUGCAUUAGCUAGUUGGUAAGGUAACGGCUUACCAAGGCGACGAUGCGUAGCCGACCUGCGAGGGUGAUUGGCCACACUGGAACUGAGACGCGGUCCAGACUCCUACGGGAGGCAGCAGUAGGGAAGCUUCCGCAAUGGGCGAAAGCCUGACGGAGCAACGCCGCGUGAGUGAUGAAGGUCUUCGGGUCGUAAAACUCUGUUAUGAGGGAAGAACAAAUGUGUAAGUAACUAUGCACGUCUUGACGGUACCUAAUCAGAAAGCCACGGCUAACUACGUG